GAUGAACGCUAGCGGCAGGCCUAAUACAUGCAAGUCGAACGGCAAGAUUUGGUAGCAAUACUAAAUCCUAGAGUGGCGCACGGGUGAGUAACGCGUACAUGACAUACCUAUAAGCGAGGGAUAGCAUUGGGAAACUGGUAGUAACCCCUCAUGUGAUUAUUUGUAAUAAAGGUAAAUAAUUAAAACUACGGUGCUUAUAGAUUGGUGUGCGUCUGAUUAGCUAGUUGGCGAGGUAACGGCUCACCAAGGCGACGAUCAGUAGGGGGCGUGAGAGCGUGAACCCCCACACGGGUACUGAGACACGGACCCGACUCCUACGGGAGGCAGCAGUAAGGAAUAUUGGUCAAUGGAGGGAACUCUGAACCAGCCAUGCCGCGUGCAGGAUGAAAGCCCUCUGGGUUGUAAACUGCUUUUAACAGGGAAGAAAAUGCUAUACGUGAUAUAGUACUGACGGUACCUGAGGAAUAAGCACCGGCUAACUCCGUGCCAGCAGCCGCGGUAAACUCG
rnacentral:rRNA from 1 species